rnacentral:rRNA from 1 species
CCUACGGGUGGCAGCAGUGGGGAAUAUUGGACAAUGGGCGAAAGCCUGAUCCAGCCAUGCCGCGUGUGUGAAGAAGGCCUUCGGGUUGUAAAGCACUUUCAGUGGGGAAGAAAGCCUUGGGGCUAAUACCCUCGAGGAAGGACAUCACCCACAGAAGAAGCACCGGCUAACUCCGUGCCAGCAGCCGCGGUAAUACGGAGGGUGCGAGCGUUAAUCGGAAUUACUGGGCGUAAAGCGCGCGUAGGCGGUCUGAUAAGCCGGUUGUGAAAGCCCCGGGCUCAACCUGGGAACGGCAUCCGGAACUGUCAGGCUAGAGUGCAGGAGAGGAAGGUAGAAUUCCCGGUGUAGCGGUGAAAUGCGUAGAGAUCGGGAGGAAUACCAGUGGCGAAGGCGGCCUUCUGGACUCACACUGACGCUGAGGUGCGAAAGCGUGGGUAGCAAACAGGAUUAGAUACCCCGGUAGUC